rnacentral:rRNA from 1 species
UACGUAGGGUGCGAGCGUUGUCCGGAAUUAUUGGGCGUAAAGAGCUCGUAGGCGGUUCGGUAAGUCGGGUGUGAAAACUUUGGGCUUAACCCAAAGCGUGCAUCCGAUACUGCUGUGACUUGAGUUCGGUAGGGGAGUGGGGAAUUCCUAGUGUAGCGGUGAAAUGCGCAGAUAUUAGGAGGAACACCGGUGGCGAAGGCGCCACUCUGGGCCUUACCUGACGCUCAGGCGCGAAAGCUAGGGGAGCGAACAGG